CCUACGGGAGACAGCAGUGGGGAAUAUUGCUCAAUGGGGGGAACCCUGAUCCAGCGACGCCGCGUGAGUGAAGAAGUAUUUAGGUAUGUAAAGCUCUUUCAGCAGGGAAGAAAAUGACGGUACCUGACUAAGAAUCCCCGGCUAACUACGUGCCAGCAGCCGUGGUAAUACGUAGGGGGCAAGCGUUAUCCGGAUUUACUGGGUGUAAAGGGAGCGUAGACGGGUAUGCAAGUCUGAAGUGAAAGCCCAAGGCUCAACCAUGGGACGGCUGUUGAAACUGUAAAACUGGAGUGCAGGAGAGGUAAGCGGAAUUCGUAGUGUAGCGGUGAAAUGCGUAGAUAUUAGGAGGAACACCAGUGGCGAAGGCGGCUUACUGGACUGUGACUGACGUUGAGGCUCGAAGGCGUGGGGAGCAAACAGGAUUAGAUACCCGAGUAGUC
rnacentral:rRNA from 1 species